rnacentral:misc_RNA from 1 species
GAAUCUCGGGAGUCCCUCUUAAUCGGAGAAGGCCCGCAAUCAUUAUUUCACACACUUGUGCAUUUGUCCCACCCUUAAUACGUUUUUAACGCUUAUGCAUUUGAAACAGUCGUUGGUCAUACAAACAUGAUAAAUGAAAGAAAAACUUUCAGCAAUGGAUCUCUUGGCUCU